rnacentral:rRNA from 1 species
UGGGGAAUAUUGCACAAUGGGCGCAAGCCUGAUGCAGCCAUGCCGCGUGUAUGAAGAAGGCCUUCGGGUUGUAAAGUACUUUCAGUCGGGAGGAAGGUGGUAAGGUUAAUACCUUUGCUCAUUGACGUUACCGACAGAAGAAGCACCGGCUAACUCCGUGCCAGCAGCCGCGGUAAUACGGAGGGUGCAAGCGUUAAUCGGAAUUACUGGGCGUAAAGCGCACGCAGGCGGUUGAUUGAGUCAGAUGUGAAAUCCCCGGGCUUAACCCGGGAAUUGCAUCUGAUACUGGUCAGCUAGAGGCUUGUAGAGGGGGGUAGAAUUCCAUGUGUAGCGGUGAAAUGCGUAGAGAUGUGGAGGAAUACCGGUGGCGAAGGCGGCCCCCUGGACAAAGACUGACGCUCAGGUGCUAAAGCGUGGGGAGCAAACAGG